CAUCGUUUUGGUAUUCAUGUCUGUCGUUUCGAUGCAUGCCACGUCAGCGACUCCCCAAGAGUAACUCCCCUUGUUUGCGGUGAAAAUAAAAAAACCGCAGACGGUAAAAACGAAGUUGGGACCCACCAGGGUAAAAAAAGUGAAAGGGGGGUAAAACAGGAGGGGUGAACAGGGAGGGCAGUUGCCAGAAUCUCUGGCUUCUCUACGAGGCCAGCAAUUUAUGGCUCCGUAUAGGGAGAGAAAGCAGAGAACGGAGAAGAAAGAGAGAGAAUAGAAUUGAAGAGGAGAGAGUAGAGAAUGAAUAGGAGGUGGGGUUAGUCUAUAUUUAUAGAGGAUGUAUUAGAUGAUGAGCCCUGGUUUUAUACAAAUAUUACUUGAUCUGCCAUCUGGAUUCAAAUUACAUUAUUAUCCUCAUUUUAUAACCAUUUUAAAGGUCGGGCAUGCCAGCUUGUUGAGGUUUACCAAAAAGGACAAGAAAUUUUCUCUUUUGCCAAAUCCAAUUCAUACGACAAUGAGAGUGAUUAGUUGUUAAAUUAGACACUAAACAUGAUUAUAACUUUUCUUCGCAACUCUUACCAAUAAAGCACUUUCUCGUCAUUUUUUAGGCUCCAUUUUGUGUGGUUUCCAUUUUCACCUGUGGAUCUUAGAGAAGGGUGACAUGUUGAUUAAAAAAUCAAAUCUAUUAAAAAAAAUUGAAUCGAAUUUAAAAUUAAAUUGAAUUGAAUGAAUGAUUUAUUUUCUAUUUAAUUAAAAAUAUUUCAUUGACCUUUUAAUUGAUUUUUAGAGACUUUGAUGAAUGGUGUAUUUAGAAACGUGAUUGUACCUAUAUUUUUAAAUAUAUUAUUUUUUAUUAAAAAAUAAUUUUUUGUAUGUUUUGCAUCGUUUUGAUAUAUUGAUAUCAAAAAUAAUUUUUAAAAAAUAUAAAAAAUAUUAUUUUAAUGUAUUUCAGUACGAAAAAUACUUUAAAAAACAACUGCAAUCACAUUCUCAAAUAAACCUUAAAUGAGCCUGGACUUUUUUCAAAUUUUAGUUUUUUUAUUUUUUAAAAAAUUGAUUUAGUUUGUUUUGUUUCAAUUUGAUUUGACUUAACUUGGUUUGCAUUGAUUCAUAUCUAAAAUAAAAACAUAUUUUACUAGUUUUUUUCUAUUUGGAUUUCUCAUUUGAUAUAUUGAUUUGGUUUUUUCCAUAAAUUUUUUAUCAACUUUUUUUAUUAUUAAAUUAGUUGGUAAUUUUGGUCAACCCUAUUUUUAAGAGAUUCAUUGUAACUAUCUUUUUACAGCAUGUGAUCUUUGAGUACUUUUAUGUUAGAUUCUCGGUCUUAAUUUCUUAACAUCUUUAAAAAUGAUGUAUUGAAUUUCACCAAGCGUAUUUUAAAUUGGUUUUUAAAGGGAAGGGGCUUUUGGUAUGGUUGGAGCUGUUCGUUUGGCUGUAACAAAUAAUGAUAAUAAUAUAUGUUGUUGUGAUGCUUUUAUGUUGAAUUAUACUUAAGAGCCUAAGACUUUAGUCUGUAGUUUCUAUUUUUAUUGCUUUUAUUAUAAUUUUAUUUUAAAAAAUGGAUGGUAUUGAGAUUUUACGAAGCUUUUUUUUUUUCAUGAUAUUUCGCCUGAAAAAUCUUUUAAAAAAAGGGCAAAAAUAACUUUCUAGAAGAAUAGAAAAGGGAACUACAGCAACGAUUCCAUGUAGAAUUUGUGUUUCAACAUUUAUUUUCCUUGUUUGAGAUUCGGUUUUUUCUUUCAUUGUUUUACCUAGUUACGUAUUGUUGUUGUGAAUUGAAGCAAUAUAAUGAUAGAAUUAUCCUUGCCAAAGAAACCGUUUAAACAUGCAUUUGGGGGUAGGAUUAUCUUUUUCUUGGGAUACAUUUGGCAUUAAAAGAAUAAUCGAGAACAAAAUGACCCGUUCAUGUUUUUUAGACUACAAUAUAGAUAUUGAUUUACCCUUCAAAGCAUGAAAUUUUAACUUUUGAGUUGGGGGUUUCUUUUGUCUUUUCAUAAAAAAAUAAAUAGUUAAGAUACAAUUAUGCCCAUAAAAGGGAAGAAUAUAUAUAUGAUGAGAGGCUUCUCUGUCCUUUUCUUUAAUUUAAACAAUUCAAGUACAAAAUUAUCAUUGAGUUUCAAUAAAAACAAGGUUGUAUGUAGAGUGUUUUCAUUCCCGUGUGGUUUUAUUGUAAAUAUCAUGUGGGGUCAAUUUAUAUGUAUAUAAAUUGUUAUUUAUAUUCAAAAAUAGCUAACACGUGUUGGGCAUGUACCAGUGGGGCGUCACCCUCGCCAUUCGGUGGUGUGUGUGACUCCAAAAUAGAACCAAGCACCACCUUAUAUGACAAUAUUCAAUGCGUCUCGCCACUCCAGGCACAUUGGCAAUGUGUGUGUACCAAGGUAGCCCACGAAGGAACUUCGAGAACGGGUUUUUUUCUCAUUCCCUCUCUCCCCUCUCUUUUCCUAAAAAAUCAUGCUGUCCAUUGCAAAAAAACAAGAAGGUCUUGUAUGAUUGUUAGACCCAAGAUGUCAGCCACAUUUAAAGUGCUUGGACUAACCCUACAAGUGUUUGACCGAUUAUUUUUUUAUAUUUGUUUUUUUAUUUUCAUUUUAAAAAAAAUAAUGCAUUAUUUCUGUAUAUUUUUUUGAUAAAUUUUUUGUUUGUAUUUUAAUUAAAUUGUGCUUAUUUUUAAUUGUAAAAAUAAUGCUCCCACUGAAAAUAAAAAAAGUAGAACUAAAGGGUUUCACACAUUGUGUAGAUGGACAGACCUUUAUCCACGCAUCCAUACAAAUUGUAAUGUUAACCAAGAAAAAAAAAAGGUUUUGCUCAUUAUCAUAAUUGUAACAACCAAACCAACAUGACAAAUCUAGAAUUUAAACUAUUCCGAGCCAAAAAAAAAAAAAUUAAGCAAGUAUAAAACUUGGAUUAACCUAUUAACUGAGCCAAAACUCAUUUUUUAACACGUUGAUCUUGUUGUUGAUUUUUGUAUCAAAAUAAUUAUUAAAAAAACUUGAGGUUGAUUCGGGUCAACCACCUCAGUCCAUGAUUUGAGUCUUGUCACAAGUCAACCUUAAAUUAAAUUUAAUUCCAUCAUAAUUUGAUCAAUUUUUUUUAAUGAGUCUCUUUAUUUUUUUUUCUUUAUUAAGUCUUUAUAGCUCAUAUUAACAAAAAGAAAACAAAAAAGAUGAGAGCAUUUUAUUGUACUCCUCACAAAAUACUAGGCAUUGGAAUGGUGUUUUCCUUUUCUUUUUUUUAUUUUAUUUUAUCAUUCAACAUCAAGUUUAUUAGAUAUUGAGUUUUAUAAUUUACUUUUUAUAAAAUUAUUCUAGUUUCGUAACCUAGACUACAUGUUUGAUGGUUUAAGUAGGUAGGUUGGCUCCAGUUUGUUUCCCUUUUUCCUAGUUGAUUUUUUUUUCAAGUUCGUCCUUUAACAUUGAAUUGAUUGGAAAAUAGAUUUCAUGAUUUGUUUUGGUUUUUUUUUCUAUGAGGUUAUCCUCGUCAUAUGACUUAAGUCAUGAAUUUUGCAAGUUAACUUAGAUUGAUUAAAAUUGUUUUUGUCAUUUUAUAAUUGAUUUUUAAAUUUCAAUUCUAUCAUUUAAUAUCAUGUCUAUUGGGGAGUGAAAUUUGUGAUUUUUUUUCAACUUACUUUUUAUAAGAUUGUUUUGGUUUUAUGACUCAAACAGCAGGCUUAACAGGUUAAUUUGAUUUACUCAAUUUUUUUUCUUUUUUAAGUGACUUUUUUUUCUUCAAUUUUAUUAUUAAAAAGUGGAUCGACUGAGAAUUAGACUUUGUUAUUUAUUUUGGUUUGCUUUCUAUGAGGUUACACUCGUCUCAUGACUCGAGCCACAGGUUUGCUUUGUUAACUUAGGCUAACUUAAAUCCUUUUUUGUGUCAUUUUUAAUAGAUUUUUUCUAUUUCAUCUUUAAACAAUGGGUUGAAAAAGAAUUGAGCUGCAUAAUUUAUUUUUUAUUGGGUUAUCUCAAUCUUAUGACGUGGGUCGUAGGUUCAACAGGAUAACCCGAGUUAUCUCAGGUUAUUUUUGUCUUUUUUAUUUGAUUUUUUUUUAAUUUUAUCCUUCAACAUUGAGUUUAUUGAAAACUAGGUUUCAUAAUUUAUUUUGAUUUUUUUUUAUGGGAUUGUCAAGAUCUUAUAACUCGACAUGCAGGUUGACAAUUUAACCGAGGUUGAUCCAAAUCGAUCUAAUGUGUUGUCGUCUCAAUAUUUAUAAAAAAAUCUAUGUCUUGAAUAUUUAUCUUUAGUUAAAUUAUAUUUUUACCAAUCAUCUGAGUUAUCUCUGCACUCAUCAAGUCGACCGAAUCAUAUCAAGUCAAUUUUUAUAUGGUUUUUAAAAACAUUUCUACUAUAAAAAAUAUCAGCAACACCUAAAUAUUUUUAUAUAUUAAAAAAUUUGAUAUGAUUUGUAAUAUAAAUCUAGUCAAUUAUCCAGUGAUGUUCUUUUGGUUAUUGUUUGCUUUAUUUUAAAUAAUUUAUUAAAUUAUAAUUUUAUUUCAAUUUCAUCCUCAUUCAAGUUCUCACUUUGUCAUAUUUGAUCCUUAUUCUUUUAAUUGUUAUUUAUAAAAUCUGAGAUCAUUUUUUUUUUUCAGAUUUCACCCUCCAUUAUUUUUUUCUUAUUAAAUUUCAUUAUCAUUCUUUUGAUUGUUGUUUUUUUUUUUCUUUGCAAAGCUUUUUAAAUUGUUUUUUUUACUUGAUUUCAUCCUUCAACUUUUAAUUUGUUUGGAUUUUAGCCUCUUGGUUAAGCCCUUAUCUAGGAUUUCACAAGCUGCAAGUUUUAAAAAUUAACCUAGUUUUAGGGGGGUUCGCUUGAGGUUUUUAUUUAAUAUUUUUUUAAGCUAAUGUCUUUUUUUGGUUUUAUCCUUAGGUAUUUAUUUAAUUGAAGAUUAGACUUUAUUUUUCUUCAACUUUUCUAUGUCAUUUGUUUUAUCAUUUAUUUUUAUUUAUUUAAUUAUGUUCUCUCGGAUCUUUUUAUCUAUUGUUUUAUUUUAAGUUUGGUUUUUUAUAAAUAAAUAUUAUUAUUAAGUUCAUGGAAUUAAUUGGUUGAAUAUAAGUAGAUGAUCACUUUUAUUUUUUUCUUUUUGGCGGUGUUGCUCUAGCGACUCAUUCGAUUUUUUUUUAAUACCAUCAUGUGUUUUUUUACAGUGGGGUUUUGGAAUGUUUCAAUAGGGUCAUAUGGUAGUGAGUAUUGUCUACUGUAAAAUGAUGACAAGUUUCUAAUAAUUUUUUUUUCUUCGGAGUAUGAUAUUGAUUGUCUAUUUAUCUUGUUUAAUUGUUAUCAAAUAUUUAUUGUACACUAAUGACUUGAGUAUUCAUUUUUUUUUUUUUAAAUACUAUUAUUAUCUAAACAUUAAUGUUACAUGUUAAAAAAAUUUAAUAGACCCAUAGGUAGCACGGGUCAUAGGUCUAAGUACUUCGUUAAUGCCUUGUUAGUUGGCCAGCACCAAUUAAUUUCAUGCACGUGUUGUCCUUAAAGAAAAUGGUAUCCACACGUAACCAUUCGAUCCAUUUCACUCCUCUAGUGAGCAAUGACGCAGAAUAUUUGACUUUUUUUUUUUUUUUUGCAUAUAAAACUCUGAAAUUUUGGUAUACAGAUCAAGUCAAACACAUUUUUAGCACUUUCUAAAGCCGGCUUCGAAUAUUUUGGAAUGCUUUUAGUUGACAGAAAGCUUGUUACAAGUAGGCUUUUUUUUUAUUAUUAUUAUAAAGAUUUUUUCAUUAAUAUAAGAAAAGAAAAUAUUCCUUGAAGAAUAUUAACUUUAAAUUCAUCUAUGAGCAUCUGAGAAUAUAAAAACAAUUACAAGGAAGUUAAAACACAGUGUUAGAUUUAUGUAUUUCAAUUUUGAUAGUUUUAGUAAAAAAAUAAAUAAUUAAAAGAUUUCAAGAUAUUAAAAUUAUCAAAACAUGACCAUGCAUUAUUUUAAGUUAAGUUUUAAAACUAUAAUAAUAAGGGAGUUAGAGUAGCAUAAUUAAAAAUAAAAACAAGUGUAUUCACAAUAAAAUUAAAAAAACAAUAAUACAUUUUUCUUAUGACAAAGGAACUCAAAAUCCAUUCUUUAAAUAUAUUUUAAAAAUAUAUCUAAAAUAUAUGAAAAGCUAAUUCGGCACGAGUAUGGAUUAUAACAAAGUUAUUAAAUUUGUGGAGAGAAGUAGUUGAUCCUCAUCUAAGAUUUUAUUAUGCCAACCCCUCCACCUUCGCUGCAUCGUACAAGUCUUUAACACACGGAAGAUGAAGAUAGGAAUAUAUCCCUCGUAUUUAUUAUUUUAAAAUUAUAAAAAUUUAUUUAAAAUCAAUUUUUAUUUUUUAUUUUUAUUUUCAUCGUUACAACUAAAUCCUGAUUUUUUUCUCUUUGCCUUGUAAGUUGUAAAUUGCGUGCAAUAAAUUCAGUGGCUCUGUGAAAAUUAUGAAAUCCAGAGUCUUUGAUUUGAUUAAUUACCUUUUGAGAAGAUUCUUUAAUUUUUUUUAAAAAAUAUUAAUUAUUCAAAUUCAUUGCAUAAUGUGAUUCACUAAUUUUUUUUAUUAUUAAUAUAGGUGUUCGAGUUAGCUUGCGUAUAUCUUAAUUAAUUACAUGAAUUCUAAAAUUAACGAUCAUAUAAAUUUUAAAGUUUGUAAAAUUUGAUAUGGUGAUUUUUUUAAAAAAAUAAAUAAAUUAUUUUACAUUAUAUCAAAAGUGAUAAUGCUAUGUUCCAACAACACCCUUAGUAGGUAUUUCUUACCAUCUGUAGCCAUGAUCGAGUGGUUUCCUUGGAUUUUCUUUAUUAUUAUUAAUGUAAUUAAUUAAAUGAUAUAGUCAAUGAGCUAAUUAAGGAGAAAACAAAGGCAGAGGAACGGCACCUGGUAAAGUUGAUUCAAUGUGAUGUGUUUUCUAUCCGAUGUCAGAUAGCUUCGUGAGAGAAUUUAGCAAUACGGCAUUAGUUUUUUUUGCAAAAUUGUUUUUAAAUUAAAAAUAUAUUAAAAUAAUUUUUAAUUUUUUUUUAUAUUAACCCAUUAAAACCAUAAAAAAAUCCUAAAAACUAUUAAUUCAAUAUAUAGCACUAUCAUACUUGUUUAAAGAAGUAUCUUAUGUUAGAUAUAGCUUCUUGAAAGAAUACAGUGAGUGUUUGACAAUGCAACAUAAAAUAUUUUUUAAUUAAAAAUAUAUAAAAAUAAUAUUUUUUAAUAUUAAUAUAUUAAAAUUAUAAUUUUUUUUAAAAUACUAAUUUAAUAUUUUUAAACAAAAAAUAAUUUGAAAUGUUACUUUUUAUUAGAAAAUAUAUUAAAAUAAUAUUUUUUAAUUUUUUAGAAUUAUAAUUAAUAUUAGAUCAUCAAAUAAUCUAAAAAUAUUAAAAAAUAUAUUAAUUUAAAAUAAAAUAAUAAAAAAUUAAUUUUUUAAAAAAUACUACUAAAAUAUAAAAAUAAAUAAGUAUAGAAGAAAGGUUCGUACCUAUGGCUAUCAAACUUUAAAUGACCGGAGUUCGUACUAUAAUUCCAGAGGUUCCUCUUCUUGUAAUUAACUCGUAUACGUCCAAAUUUACUGUAAUAUUGACAACGAGAUUUGCCUUGGGGCCCACCCAUCUGUAUCGGUUGAAACUAGCUGGUAGAAUUCAAGAAAAAAUAAUACCCAAACUAGGCGUGCAGUUAGGACUGAAAGACAGGAGGGGUAAACGGAAAGUUUCCAUGAAACACGAAGGGCAAACAUUUAAGAAGAUGGGAUGCAUUUAAAAACUAAUAAAAUUAAAUUGGACUACAAUUAAUAUUUUUAAAAUCUUAAAUGGGCACUUUCCCUUCUUAUUAAUAUACUGUUUGGGAGUGCUUUUCAAAACACUUUUGAUAAAAUUUGAAAAUUAUUUAUUUAUUUUUUUGUUUUAAAUUAAUAUAUUUUUGAUGUUUUCAAAUCAUUUUGAUAUGCUGAUCUUAAAAAUAAUUUUUAAAAAAUAAAAAAAUAUUAUUGACAUGCUUUUCUGAGUGAAAAACACUUUAAAAAGCAACAACAGUCACACUCCCAAACAACCUCUAACUACACCUCACACCAUAAACUGCAUUUGGUUACGCACUGUUUGGAAACUGAUUUGAAAACGAGCUUUAUAAAAUUUUAAUUUUUUUAUAUUUUUAAAUUAUUUUGAUACAUUCAUGUCAAGAAUAAUAUUUAAAAAUUAAAAAAUAUAUAUUAAUUUGAUGUAUUUUUAAAUAAAAAAAAGUUUGAAAAAUAAUUGCUACUAUAUUUUUAAAUGUACUCUUAAUAUAGAGGAAAAAAAAAAGAAAGAAAAUAAUAAAAAUAUGAUUGGUUGGAAAAAAAAAAUUCUCCAGAAAGUUUUGAAAUGAAUUUAUAAUAUUAUAAAACAGAAAAAUAAAAAAAUAUUUUCUGUCAUGAAAGUCUCUGUUCUGUCCUGCAACCACGCAGUGGUCUUUUUGUCAACUAUCAGUUGUAGUUUGAGUGCCAGUCGAGUUACUUUACUCCUCUUAAAAUCAAUUCUAGCAUAAGUUACUUCUCUUAAAAGUUAAGUCAAGGUUUACCGUUGGCUUUCAUAUUUUCAAUUUCAGUUCAUGCUUUGUAAUAAAUUGUAGCUAUCUCUUUCUUCGUCUCCUUCUUUUCAUGAAAACGACAAUUUUAAAAGAAUUAUAAAUUAUAUUUCCAAGAUUUUGAACUUUUUUUUCACUAGGAUCUUCAAAAUUAUAGAUAAAACAAGAUAUAAAUCCAACUAAAUCUUAAUCCACUUCCAAACAGAUCUAAAAAGAUAUGAUAAUAUUGAAAUUAUGAUAAAUAUAUUUUUUUAAAAAAAUUAAUAUCAACAUAUCAAAAUCAUUUAAAAAUAUAUAAAAAAUUAAUUUAAAAAAAAUCAAUUUUAAUAAAAAAAAUAUCAACCUGUAUGUUUGGAAAUGUAAUAGCGAUUACUUUUUAAAAUAUUUUUUAUUAAAAAAUAUAUUAAAAUAAAAUUUUUUAUUUUUAAAAAAUUAUUUUUGAUAUCAAUAUAUUAAAAUUAUCUAAAAAUAAAAAAUAUAUUAAUUUAAAUCAAUAAAAUAAAAUAUUUUUUUUAAAAAAUAUUUUUAAAAUAUAAAAACAAUCAUGUCGGUCUAAUAGAAUUAAUUUAGGGAUAGACUUCUAAUGUAUAAAUACUUCCUUAUUUUAUGUACAGUUCCGGAAAGGUCUCAAUCAAAUUAAAACUCCAAGUCAUGACCCUAACAUCAUCUAUUUUAUACCUAGCCUUUCGCAGUACUCAUUAGGCUCUUAACUUGGGGACCUAUCAAGAAUUUUUACAGGAUCCUUCCCCUCAACAUAGAGUUUUUUUUUUGCAUAAUUUAAAUGAUAUAGAUUUUGUCAUAAUUUUAAAACUUGACUUGAUUUGACAGGUCGAUUUAAAACUAGAGGCUGGAAUUAAACCGGGUUAAAAAAAACAAAAAAUAAAAACUUGAUGUGACUCAGCAAGAUUGGGUCGCAAACCCAUUGACUUUUUUUUUUUUUUACUAAAACAACGUCGUUUUGAUUUAAAAAAAUUACCUGGUAACUUGAGUCAAGUACCGAAACCCGGGCCUUUGACAAGACUGAGUCUUAAAACUAUGGAUCUUGCUUCCAUAUGUUUUGAGUGUGUUUAGUACUUGUGUUUCAAUUAUAUAUUUUGCUAUAAAAUAUAUUAAUUUUUUAUUUUCAAGUAUAUUUUUUAUUUUUGCUAUAAAAUGAUUUAAUAUAAUUACAAAAAAUAACAAUGUAGUUUAUUAAAUCUCAUUAGAUAUGAUGGGCAAAAACACAAGUUAUAAUCUUCGUGCAAUAACACAAUAUUAUAUCGUAUCUUAUGAUUAAUCACGUAGUUUUUAUUGUUUUGAUUUUUUUUUAUCUUUUCAUGUUUUUUUUUUCUUAUAAUCUACUUAGCAUUAUAUGUAUAAAGAUAGUGUCUUAUUUUGCCUUGGCAUACACCUUCACUUUACACCUUGUGCGUAAACUCUAAACCUCAUUUGCUUUUGUAUUUAAAAUUAUGUUUAGAUAUGUUUUAAAAAUGUAUUUAGUUUUAGAAAAUAUUAAAUUUAUAGUUUUUUAAAAUAAUUUUAAUGUAUUGAUAUUAAAAAUAAUUUCUUUUUAAAAAAAAUUUGAUAUAUUUUUAUGCAAACCAAUAUUUUUGAAAAAUACUUGUUUAAAUAUCAUUAUUUUGAGAUAGAAAAUUAGGAUAAAAAAAACAUAUGUAUCCUUUAUAUUUUAAAAAUACAAACUUUAAAACUGUAUUAAAAACAAUCUUGUUUUUUAGUCUGUUUGGAAGUGUAAUUAUGGUUGUGAUUGUAUUUUAAAAUGCUUUUCAUGUCGAAAUCAAUAAAAUAAUAUUUUUUUUAAUUUUUUAAAAAUUAUUUUUAAGAUCAACACAUCAAAAUGAUUCAAAACAUAUAAAUUAUUAAUUUGCAUUGCUUUCCCAGACAAUAUCUAAAUCUUUGUUUUUAUCUCUCUCUCUAAUCAUUUUAUUUUCUUACCUUACUUGUAUCAAGAAAUUAACCAAAAACAACCUUAGAGCUUUUAAAAAACAGCUGUUAUUCUCUACAUCGAAACUCUCUAACAAGAUUAGGUGUGAAUUAAAUGUGUUCAUGUUGAAUUAGUCGACUCAGCCAACCAGAAUAAUUAAGUGCUAAAUAGUUCCAAGUAAGGCUAAAUUGAUUAAUUAAUCACCUGUCAUUUGUUAAAAUACUCUGUACAUUUAUAUAUUCCUUAUUAAAAUGUGUUUGAUUUUGUGUUUUAAAAAUAUUUUUAAAAAAUUUAAAUACUUUUAUUUUUUUUCUUGUUUUAAAUUAAUAUAUUUUUUUGAUAUUUUUAAAUCAUUUUAAUAUGUUAAUAUUAAAAAUAAUUUUUUAAAAAUAAAAAAUAUAUUAUUUUAAUAUAUUUUUAAAUUAAAAAUAUUUUUAAAAAUAAUCAUAACCACAAUUCUAAAUCCAUGAAUUUAACGGGCCACGUUUUAUUAAUUUAGUUGAUUUUGCUGACAGCCAGGGCCACCAGGCACAUUGCUUGCCUGCCUGCCUGCCUGGCGCCAGGACCAAAUCACCAACCGUUCCUUUUAAUCUCUACCAACCAUCAGUUUCAUCAUGUGUCUGGUUUGUCUCCCAGAACACCAUGUACAUUGCCAGCCGAGGGCCAAAACCAUACCACCAAGGUACCAACAGUUCUGUAUACUUUAGGCAGUAAAAUUAUAUUUCUUAAAAUUAUAUUUCAUUUUUAUUUAAAAUUAUUUUUUUUCAAAUAAUUUUAAUAUACUAAUAUAAAAAAAUAAUUUUAAAAAAGAUAAAACAAUAUUAUUUUAAAAUAUUUCCGAACAAAAAAUACUUUUAACCACAAUUGUUAUAAAAUUCUUUUAGUACUCAAAUUAAUUUAAAACUUGAGUUAAUUGAAUUUAAAUUAAUUUAGAACUUGAGUAGAUCGAAUUCCAAACUGACCCAUUAGACUGUUUUAGGUUUUAUUGCUAUCCAACUCUAGUUAGGUUAACCAUAUUCCUCUAAAACUAAUUUAAAUAUAUUGUUCAAUCUCGCCUAAUCUACAUGGAAAACGUUGUACAUGGUUUAAGGGGCUACCAUAUGGAUUUUUAUAAUGUUUAUAGCUUUUUAUAACUAAAUCCAAACAAUGGAGGUUAAUAAGUGCACAUAAAUUCUUGGAAUUAUAUAUCCAUUUAUCUUUAUAUAAUUAAAGUGUUUUCUAGUAUAUCAUUUUAAUAAUGUUUCGCUUUUUUAUAUUUAUAUUUCCUUUCAUAUUCUCUUCCUUCAAUUUACAAACAAAUAAUAAAAAAAUAUAAGUUAUUUGCCUACCUUCCAGAGAAUUUAUCAUUAUAGGAAAAAUAAUUAAUCCUGUACCACCAAAAACAAAAUCAAUUUUGAAAAUAUAAAAAUAUUAUAUCACCUUUCAUGGGUUAUUAUAUCUCUUGAAAAACCACAAAUAAAGUAUUGAUCUAGCGAUUAAGAUACUGUUAUAUUUCUGUAAAUGUAAGAAUAUAAAUUCGAUUUCUAGAAAGCGUAUUUAUUAGAAGGAACAACAAUGAACCCCGAACAAGACUAGUCUCAUCCUUUAAAAAAAUAUGAGAAUAUUAGAGUAAAUAUAUAUAUAUAUAUAUAUAUAUAUAUAUAUAUAUAUAUAGCAUUUGAAAAACCUAAAAUAGAAAUUAGAAAAAAAAACUGGAAUAUUCCAAAAAAAUCGAACUAACCCAUGAAAUAUUUAUAAAAAGGUUGAAAACUAAUGAAAUAUUUGAAAAACCAGCAUCUUGCGACUUAUUUCAUCGGCUUGGUCAUAGGUUUUACAAAAUGGUUUUUCACUUUUUUUUUUAUAUAUUUUUCAAAGUUAGUUCUACAAAUCUUCUACAGGGUUCUUAAUGUUUUUAUUUAUGAAAUUCAAGAUAUUUCUUUAAAAAAAUUAUAAUAAUACAGUUUUUUUAUUAAAAAAAAAACUGUCUAAUCAUUAGGUUUCACUAAUUAUUUCUUUAAUUAUAUAUUUAUAAAAGUUUCGUGUGAGCCGGGUAUUAAAAUAAUAUGAUCUUGAGCCAAACUAAAUUUAAUAAUAAUAAUAUAAUCAGCUAAUUAAUACUGUAUUUUAAUAGAAAAUGCAUGUUUGAUAUUAUAAUAAAUUUUUUGUUUAAAAAUAUAUUAAAAUAUAUUUUUUAAUAUUUAAUAUUUUUAAUUUUAGCCUAUCGAAUAAUAAAAUAAACAAUAAAAAUUAAAAUAAUAUGAUGUUGAGUCAAAUUGAAUUCAGUAAUAAUGAUAUAAUUAGUUAAUUAAUAUUAUAUUUUAAUAUAAAAUGAAUGUAGGGUAAAUAUUCUUUACUUAAAAUAUAUUAAAAUAUUUUUUAAAAAUCUUAAUAUUAGCUUAUCAAAUAGUAAAAAAACAAUAAUUUUUUUUUCAAUUUAAUCCUUAAAAAAACAUUUAAAAACAAAAUCAGCCGCUCCAGUUUAGAUCGAAGCCACAGUCUAUGAAAAUGCAAGUUAAACCUUGAAAAGAAAAGCACUCCUCACAAAUUGAAUAGCUGUCAAUCUCGUUAAAUAACCGUUAAAGUUCCAGCACGGAUUCUGAAGAAAACCAUCUUACGUGGCACAAGAACAAGCCGCCUGGCUGCGCCACCGUGGUAAGGAAAAAAACUGAAGUGGGUCCCACGGAACAGAAUUCCUUGCUGGAGAAUUUAUUCGAAAAUUUACUUAUUUAUUUUACAACUUAUUUCACUCUGAAUCUUCUUUUCUUUUCUCUUCUCUUUUCUUUUUCUAUCACCAUCCAAUUCCAAUUCGAAUUCUGUCUCUUUUUGUUUUUAUUUUUGCUAAAAUAAAAAUAAAAUUAAUGCUCUAAAAAGAGAAAAAAAAGAAGAUAAUUCAAGGAAAAGGAAAAGGGAAGUUUCUUGGUUUGGAUUUUUUUUAUUCAUUCAAAAGAUUGAAAGUGAAGACUUUUGAUUUGAUAUAAUUCAAAAGAAGGGUGGUGGUGGUGGUGGUUAUCUCUUGUGCUUGUGCCUUUUCUCUUUGAUAAAAGAAGAGGUGAGCGUUUUUUCCUUUAUUUCUCUCUUUCCAUUCUUGUCUUGCAUAUGGGAGUUGAGUUCUGAAAUGGGUUUUCGUCUUUGCAAUGGUUUCUGUUUGUAGAUCUUUUGUUUUCAUAUGAAUAGGGUUGUAAAGUUUCGAUCUUUUUCUCUGUUUUUUUUUUAAUUGUUUUGGGGUGUAGGGUUGAAUUUGGGAGAUGUUUGUUGGAUGUUUUGAAGCGGGGUCGGUGAAAUAUUGAUGAUUUUUGUGUUUCGAGAGGCAUUUGCAUGGUUUCGAAUGCUGGAUUUUAGGGUUUUGGGCUUUAAUUAUGAUUUGUCACCUGUUAUCUAUCAUUGCAUAUCGAUGUUAAUUGCAUCUAGAUUGAAUUUGUGUUGGCUUUCUUUUUAUUUGUUUCGAUCAGUUUUUGCAUCCAAGAACUUGAUUUUUUUAAGCUUAAGCAUGAGUUUGAUGAAUCAUUAUGGUUUAAGAGGACAUAGCAUGACUGAUGAACUCUUUUAUAGGGUUUACCUGAUCAUCUUACAUUGAAGUUCUGAUCGCUGAUGUUGGUGGUGUUUGAAGGCUAUCAGGUCUUGUGAAAAAGCAUGAAGAGUAAAUUUAGAGUUAACAGGAGGAAAAGAGAGAUAACUAGGCAAGAACCUGAGAGGUUAAUGGAGUGCCUCAGCUCUGGAGACCAAUCAAGAGCAGUGGAUGGAAUGACACUUUCAUCUGAGUCUCUUGCAACCAAAGAAAAUCCCGCAGGUGCAUAUUCUUCUAAAAAUGGUGUGCUGGACCUGGAACCAGACACCAGCAAUCUAGAAGAAGCUGAAUUAUCUCUUCGUGGGCGUGGUUCUUUGAACUAUGAGGUUUGUUUCUCCUGACUUUAUAAUUUCCAUAUUCUUCUUGAUUCUUGAUCAGACUGUUCGGCUUUCUUUAAUCCUUGAUCACAGUGAGUUUAAGUUACAUUAAAAAGCUGUGUUGAAAUUAUCUUUGGAUUUUCUUAUAACAAUUCAAAAGACUCAUGUAUUAAAGGUCGUUAAUUUUUCAGCUGAUGUAUUUUAUCCACAUGUUUCUGGAUUUGAACUUUGAAGCUUAAAAGAUUACUGGUGGGAAUAAAUCAACUUUAUGGAAGACUUUUAUGAUGGCUUGUCUUUAACACAAGAUGACUGCAAUUUGCAGGAAGCCAGAGCAUUGUUAGGAAGAAUGGAAUACCAAAAAGGGAACAUAGAAGCUGCUCUUCAUGUAUUCGAAGGAAUAAAUAUUGCUGCNNNNNNNNNNNNNNNNNNNNNNNNNNNNNNNNNNNNNNNNNNNNNNNNNNNNNNNNNNNNNNNNNNNNNNNNNNNNNNNNNNNNNNNNNNNNNNNNNNNNUUCUUCACAAAACCUGUUUGCUGACAGAAUUCAGUUGUCAUCUUUGAAAAAUCAUAUCUCCCUCAAGUCGGAAUGACCGAAGGUCAACACUAGCAGAUUGCGAGAUUUGACUUUGAAAGCUGCGAUUUCCAUGCUCUUCCUUAUUUUAUUGUCUUGCCUUAGAUGUUCAUAAAGGUAUGGAUGUUAGAUUUUUAAUGCCACUAGAAUCACUUCAUUUUGACCUUUAGAGCUCACGCUGUGCACAAAACAUCGACUGAACGUCAAAUCUGCCAAUUACCUUCAAUUUACUCCUUUUUGCAUCUUUCAUCCAAAAGUGCCUUCAAAACAUAAAACAAAGAAUAUCAAGGCAUUUUAUAUAUAAAACAUAGCAAAACACUAGUUAAAUGUGGGUGAAACUAUCGAAUAAUAUGGUUACAUCAAAUACCCCCACACUUAGCUCUUGCUCGUCCUCGAGAAAGGAUAGGUAAAAUCAAAUUAAAGUUAAAUUAAAUCAAAUCACUAUGAUAAUCUCCUAAUCUCCCAUAAUAUCCAAGAAUAUAUGCAUUAUAAACAAGAAUAAAUCAAGAAGGAUAAAUAUAUAAUUUCAUGAAUUUAUUUACAUGCAAACUUCAAAACUCAAUAAUGUCUGGAUUUAAAUGAAAUCUAUGCCAUGCCAAAGUGAUAGGUCCUCUCAUUGAUAUACACUCCAACACUCAUGUGUUUAGGGCUUAUGUGUUUAAAUCUCUCAAAUUCAAUCAAGAGUAUGUUCUACCAUAAGCUUGCUUCAAUCUCAUCUCCAUUACAAUUAUUACAAGUAUACAUGAAUCAAAAGGUCUUUUUCCGGUUGUAAUGGGGCUGAGGUUAAGGUGAGGUAAAAGAGUAAAAGGAAAGGUUCAAACCAAAGAAAGUAGAGCAUUUUGAAAAAUGAUUUCAAACAAGAUAUUCCAUCAAAGCACAUAAAUUUUUCAUCUUUAAUCACAAUGCUUAACUCUUUUGAUUUCAAGCUCUUUCAACAUAAAACCUUAAGAACAUAAAGGAAUCUUUUUUUUUUUUUUUUUUUCUUUUUUUUUUUUUUUUCUUUGGCAACUUUGCCCAUUUUUUCAUCAAGCAUCACUUCUUUCUUUUCAUAUAAUUUCCAACCAUAAUUCCAUAAAUAUUACAAGUAUAUGCUCUACUAAUCCUUGGCCAGGGGAAAAGAAAACAUAUAUAAAGUUAAGGCUUAUACAUGGAUAAAGCAAAAAAGAUAACAAGCUCAAAACGGGUUCACUAAGGAUAAUAUGCUUUAGGUUGGCUUUUUGGCUUGAGGGGUUAAAAUUCCUAAUGCCUUUAUCAUCUUCAUGUAUAUUGUAAUGGAUGUAAUCUCAAUAAGAUAUGAAGCAAGUUCUAGAGAUACUUAUCAUUGAAAGAAUGCACACUCAAAGAAUAUAAUGUUGAAGGCUCAAAAGCUUAUAUUGGUAUAACACUAUAAAGUCAACAUGGCAUAUUCUCAAAGUCAAUCCCUAAACCAAUUAAACCUUAAAAUUUGCAUGCAUACUCCUUCAUUUGAUUUAUAUCUUCAUCUAUCUCAAUUAAUUCUCAUAUAAUACUCAUAUUCUCAAAAACCAAUGGGAGUUAAAAAGAUCAAAAAAUUUUUUUUUUUAAGAACAACAAAGAAAAUUAAAAUAAGAAAACCAAAAUUCUCCAAUACCCCCACACUUAAAACACAACAUUGUCCUCAAUGUUGAAAUAAAAGCAAAGGAACAUAAGAGAAUGACAAAAAUAAAGUAAAAUAAAAAAUAAAAGAUAAGGAAAAAGAAAGCAAAUCUGAUUUUUUUUUCUUUUUGUGCUGGGUUGCCUCCCAGUAAGCGCUUUUGUUUUAUGUCAUUGGCUCGACAUGUUGCAUGCUCAUUCUUCAUAGAUUGGUUCAUUAACUCUACAGAAGCGGUGAGUUCUGCCGUCCAACCUUCAUAGAAAGGUUUCAAACGAUGCCCAUUGACUUUGAGUAUUUGUUGUUUCUAAACUUGUAAUUUCAACUGCACCAUAAGGAAAAACAUUAGAAACAACAAAUGGUCCAAUCCAACGAGAGCGCAACUUUCCAGGAAAAAGUUUCAAACGCGAAUGAUAAAGAAGGACUUUGUCUCCAACAUGAAACUUUUCUUGUAAGCAUUCGGUCAUGAAGAUUCUUAGUCUUUUCUUUGUAAAUCCUUGCAUUCUCGUAAGCAUCAUUUUGAAUCUCUUCCAUAAUUCCAAUCUUUUUAGGCACCAAAAGGA
rnacentral:lncRNA from 1 species